CUUGUCCUCAUUGCUUCUGCCCAGGGCCUUCUCCGUGUGUCCUUCCAUUUCUACCCUCCAGCAACUGCUGCUGACCCAAUGCCCUCAAGAGAGGGUCUGCCUGAUUGGGUCAGUGCCCCGUCGGGAUGCCCUGCCCUGGAAGUCAGUGGCCUGGCCCACAAGGCGAUGGAAGACCGUGGAAAGGCCCCCUGCAGGACUGUUUCACAGCAGAGAAGUCAGAAACAUGCACAAGCUAGAGUCUGCACAGCGUGCACCGGGGCAGAGAUACGGGCCUUCUCCUGGCAGGUGAAGGAUAGACCUCACCACUCCCAACUGUUCCAGAAGCCCUGGAACCAGCUGGCUCUCCUUGCGAGCAAGAAACGGAUGCCAGAAAACCCUUGCACGUCACCACGAACUAGGCUCAGGUCAUAG
rnacentral:lncRNA from 1 species